rnacentral:rRNA from 1 species
UACGAAGGGGGCUAGCGUUGCUCGGAAUCACUGGGCGUAAAGCGCACGUAGGCGGGUCUUUAAGUCAGGGGUGAAAUCCUGGAGCUCAACUCCAGAACUGCCUUUGAUACUGAGGAUCUCGAGUCCGGGAGAGGUGAGUGGAACUCCGAGUGUAGAGGUGAAAUUCGUAGAUAUUCGGAAGAACACCAGUGGCGAAGGCGGCUCACUGGCCCGGUACUGACGCUGAUGUGCGAAAGCGUGGGGAGCAAACAGG